UUUCUUCUUCCACUUCGACACAACUGCUUGCUGUUGCUACUUUAUCUCUCCAACCAACCAGCUGGUUAGUUAGCGCAGUAAACUAGUACUUAACGAAUUGAAGAAGCUGCUGGUGUGUGAAAGUAGCUGUCACUCACCGUCGCACUGAACAGCACUUUACGAGGAAUGAGUAAAUGCGACACGGCAUUAGUGGACUCCUGCAAGGAUGGAACAACCUCCCUGCCAGUUGAAGAGCCCCCCAGUUAAGCCGAUGCACAAGAGGCCCCCUGUGCCAGGGCUGAGCCCCUGUGCACCCACCCGCCCACAACCUCGGUGCCACACCGACGAGGACCGAAGCCCCCAAGGCCCAGCCAGAGCCCCAGCACGGAGGCGAAGCACCCCCGAACCCCAAACCCCCACGCCUGCCCCGGAUCCACUCAGGAACACAACCCCCGGGUUAAGCCCUCCAGGGAUAACGUCUCUAGGGGUCCUCCAGGCGCCCUAAGCCCGUCCCAACUCCACAUCAACCACAAUAGCUAAGGCGGGACCAAACCACGACCCCCUACCCCCGCUAGUGAUGGAGCCGAUCAAAGGAGCCCAGAGGGAUUGAUCUAAUGUGGUGGCAGAGGCUAUAUCGAGACUAAUGUGAUCUAUUAGAUGGUUUCUAUAUUGGCUAGAAUUAAGAUUAUUUUUUAUUUUUCCAGUUCAUGAGGACCGUUUUCUUGGCGAUGCAUAGGGCAGUAAAAACCAUGUGGACUGUAUUAGUUUCUGUAGUGACAUCAUCCAAUUUUCCUGUGCCGUUGUGUUCAAUAUAGUUGUUGAUACAGUCAUAAAAACAGACAGCAGUACUGUGUUCCAGGCUGAUAGACCAUCAAAAAGUCUGUGUUCGGGGUCCUGACCAGUGGUAAAGCUGCCUGUUGAUGUUAUUGCAAUUAAGGUUUAAGCUCCACUGACCAGGGCCCUGUGCUUCGUACGUCGCUUACUACAUCCAAGAUCAAAUGAAACAUCCAAGACCAAACCAUCGCGCUAACCGUGAGCGCGCUAAUCCGGUUCCCCGAACACACCUGCUGUUGACGAUUAGUACAGCUGGACGCAGUAAUGUGACAUCACUGGGUGUCGUAAAAGGGGCUACGCAUCGAUAGUAGAAACAUUGAUCGGCAACCCUCUGAUUGGUCGGCGAAAAUGUCGACGGAGCGCGCUCGGCUCGGUAUUUUUCGGCAGCAGAGCAAGAACUCUUGAGUGAGGGAUUUCAGGAGUUUCAGAGUUUAAUCAGAACGCAAGG
ensembl:lncRNA